CCAGACUCCUACGGGAGGCAGCAGUGGGGAAUAUUGCACAAUGGGGGAAACCCUGAUGCAGCAACGCCGCGUGAGUGAAGAAGUAUUUCGGUAUGUAAAGCUCUAUCAGCAGGGAAGAAGAAGGACGGUACCUGACUAAGAAGCCCCGGCUAACUACGUGCCAGCAGCCGCGGUAAUACGUAGGGGGCGAGCGUUAUCCGGAUUUACUGGGUGUAAAGGGAGCGUAGACGGUUAAUCAAGUCUGAAGUGAAAGCCCGCGGCUCAACUGCGGAACGGCUUUGGAAACUGAGUAACUGGAGUGCUGGAGGGGCAGGCGGAAUUCCUGGUGUAGCGGUGAAAUGCGUAGAUAUUAGGAGGAACACCAGUGGCGAAGGCGGCUUACUGGACUGUAACUGACGUUGAGGCUCGAAAGCGUGGGGAGCAAACAGGAUUAGAUACCCCAGUA
rnacentral:rRNA from 1 species